rnacentral:rRNA from 1 species
GUUAGACGAACAGCCUGGAAAGGCCGACGAUACAGGGUGAUAGUCCCGUAGUUGACGACGUGUGUUCAGUGAAAUCGAGUAGGGCGGGACACGUGAUAUCCUGUCUGAAUAUGGGGGGACCAUCCUCCAAGGCUAAAUACUACUGACUGACCGAUAGUGAACCAGUACCGUGAGGGAAAGGCGAAAAGAACCCCUGUGAGGGGAGUGAAAUAGAACCUGAAACCGUGUACGUACAAGCAGUAGGAGCAGGCUUUGUCCUGUGACUGCGUACCUUUUGUAUAAUGGGUCAGCGACUUAUAUUCAGUGGCAAGGUUAACCAUCUAGGGGAGCCGUAGGGAAACCGAGUCUUAACUGGGCGUUCAGUCUCUGGAUAUAGACCCGAAACCAGGUGAUCUAGCCAUGGGCAGGUUGAAGGUUGAGUAACAUCAACUGGAGGACCGAACCGACUAAUGUUGAAAAAUUAGCGGAUGACUUGUGGCUAGGGGUGAAAGGCCAAUCAAACCUGGAGAUAGCUGGUUCUCCCCGAAAGCUAUUUAGGUAGCGCCUCGGACGAAUACUACUGGGGGUAGAGCACUGUUAAGGCUAGGGGGUCAUCCCGACUUACCAACCCUUUGCAAACUCCGAAUACCAGUAAGUACUAUCCGGGAGACACACGGCGGGUGCUAACGUCCGUCGUGGAGAGGGAAACAACCCAGACCGCCAGCUAAGGUCCCAAAUUACUACUAAGUGGGAAACGAUGUGGGAAGGCUCAGACAGCCAGGAUGUUGGCUUAGAAGCAGCCAUCAUUUAAAGAAAGCGUAAUAGCUCACUGGUCGAGUCGGCCUGCGCGGAAGAUGUAACGGGGCUAAGUAGUAAACCGAAGCUGCGGCAAUGCACUUUUAGUGCAUUGGGUAGGGGAGCGUUCUGUAAGCGGUUGAAGGUGUGUGGUAACGCAUGCUGGACGUAUCAGAAGUGCGAAUGCUGACAUGAGUAACGAUAAAGGGGGUGAAAAACCUCCUCGCCGGAAGACCAAGGGUUCCUGUCCAACGUUAAUCGGGGCAGGGUAAGUCGACCCCUAAGGCGAGGCCGAAAGGCGUAGUCGAUGGGAAACGGGUUAAUAUUCCCGUACUUCUUACAAUUGCGAUGGGGGGACGGAGAAGGCUAGGUGGGCCUGGCGACGGUUGUCCAGGUUCAAGUGCGUAGGCUGAAGAGUUAGGUAAAUCCGGCUCCUCG